rnacentral:rRNA from 1 species
GACGAACGCUGGCGGCGUGCCUAAUACAUGCAAGUAGAACGCUGAAGGAGGAGCUUGCUUCUCUGGAUGAGUUGCGAACGGGUGAGUAACGCGUAGGUAACCUGCCUGGUAGCGGGGGAUAACUAUUGGAAACGAUAGCUAAUACCGCAUAAGAGUAGAUGUUGCAUGACAUUUGCUUAAAAGGUGCAAUUGCAUCACUACCAGAUGGACCUGCGUUGUAUUAGCUAGUUGGUGGGGUAACGGCUUACCAAGGCGACGAUACAUAGCCGACCUGAGAGGGUGAUCGGCCACACUGGGACUGAGACACGGCCCAGACUCCUACGGGAGGCAGCAGUAGGGAAUCUUCGGCAAUGGACGGAAGUCUGACCGAGCAACGCCGCGGGAGUGAAGAAGGUUUUCGGAUCGUAAAGCUCUGUUGUAAGAGAAGAACGAGUGUGAGAGUGGAAAGUUCACACUGUGACGGUAGCUUACCAGAAAGGGACGGCUAACUACGUG